AAUAGAGAGAGAAAGGCCUUCCAGAAAAAGGGAGUGAUGUGAGCAGCAUCAAGGGAUAGGGAAGUGGGUGGCAUGUGUGCCCUGUCUGCACUAUCCCUGUCUGCACUAUCCCUGCACAGCCCUCGAGAGUUAGUGUCCAGAGCAGCUUGUAGAGAGAGUGUGUAACAGCAGCCUCCUCUACUUUCAUGCCGGGGGACUGCUGUGUGCUUAACAUACGUUAAUUACUCCUCACAGCAAGUCUAUGAGGUUGAAUAAUAUCAAGAUCCCCAUUUUACAGAUGAUAAAACCGAGGCCUGAAGGGAUCUACGGGAUUGGAAUGCAGGUCUAACUCUAACUGACAGCAGGAGGAGGAGAUUCAGCAGGGCAGAGGGGGAUGCAAGAGGCUGGGAGCUGGGAAUUUGGGAAGGGGGCCAGCAGAUGUGGAGAAACACUGGGUCUGUACAUGACAUGCCCAGAGAAGUCAUGAGUGGGCUGAUUCUCGUGGCUCAGUGCCUCUUUGGAGUGACAUGUUCAUGGUGAAAGUUCUGCUCGACAGAUGAUAAUGGCUCUGGAGGGAAUCACGAGGAACGAUGAGUGUGCGCUGUGCGUUGUCCCAGUGCGGUUACUAGAGAGCAAAGAAGGGUGCACGGCUUGUCAUGCGGUCUCUCGGGGAGGCAGCUGGCGGUAUGUGGUUGUGGCUGGUAAGCCACACGCAUGCACGCACACACACACACACACACACCUUGAUCUGUAGCAUCUGCUAACAUCAUAGUUGUAAAUACGUCCCCAGCUCCCUGGCUGAUGUCCAGGCACUGCUGUGAUGUCGCUGAGCACAGGUCUGGGAAGAGGACUGGGAUUUGCCAUUGCAGCGUCUCCUAGUCUAUAUGAGUUGCUCAAGAAAUAGGAGUUGAACUGAGUGAGAGAAUGAACUGAUAACCCUGCCUCUGAGAUCAAAUUCUCCCUCAGCGUGUAGUCGUGCCAAAUCCAGUGUCCCCUUCCUGAGGUUAGGGAUGUAUCGGAGAGGCGGUGUGCCAGAGUGAUCAAGAGCCCAGUCCUCGGGGGACUGCCUGGCUUUAAGUACAAGAUCUAACACUUAUUAGCUGUGUGACCAUAGGCAAGUGACCACGCUGCCUCAACUUCCUCAGCUGUAAGAUGGGGGUAAUGUAUUGCCUUCGCAGGGCUGUUGGGAGGUUUAAACUGUGAUAUGUAAAGCCCUUAGAAUAGUACCAAGAAUAUAGUAAGUGUCAAAUGAGUUUUUGUCAUCAUCGUAAUCAUCAUCUGCAAUUGUCACUCUCAUUUGCUGUUUUUGUCUCCUUUCAGUAUAAAUAGAAGCUAUAAUUAGCAUUCACAAGUCACAGUUUAUUUUCAUGUCUGCAUGCCUUAAAUAACCCCAGGUUUAGAACAACUUCUGAGGUUGAAUAUUCCUUAAAAUAUAACUUCUCCUCCCUUGGGCUCAAAGUUGGCCAUUGUAGCCUGGAUGCUCCCACCAUUUGCUGUGAGCUUUUGGGUGGUGAAUGAGUGAUCAGCGUUUUAGCACAGAGCAUUAAGUUCGGUGUCAUUUAAUAAAUGUGCAGCCAUGACCAUUUUUGUGGUCGUGGGGGUCUAGGGGGCAAGGUGGAUAAUUAAAUAUACCAAGAAUCCCCAGACUUUACGUCAUUCUCCUUCUAGGCUUUAUGGUUUUUCCUAACCUAGAACUCCAGACAGGUGGUUUAAUGACUCACCCCAUUCACCACACUGCUGUGUGAUCUGGGACUGCUCUAGCAAGGAGCAGAGAGCCUAGAGAUUCCCCACCUGGGACAAAGAACCAGUGGGCAAUCAAAGGUUAACUUACCUUUGGAGAAAAUCCAGUUUUAUUACCAAGAUCCCUGGAGAACAUUUUCAUUUAGGUAAAACAUGUAGCUAUAUCUUGUUUAAACUAGCCAAGGUAUCUUUCCAUGACAUGCAGAGGCCUGGGGAUAUUAGAUAGAGCAAGUGCCAUUUUCCUGGAUUAGGUGGAGCCAAAUAUGGCUAAUCAGUUUCUUACAUUUCCAUAAGCUGAUAGGGCUGGGACAGAUUGGGGUGAGGCACAUAUGGAGAUUUUCCUCCAUGCUCUGCCUCAAAGGCCCUGAAAUCCGGGUUCAAACUUGGGCUCCUUUGUUCAACAAAAUAUUUGUUGAGCCAGACACAGUUUCAGGUAGAGGCUACACUAACGAACAAGACAGACAAGAUGCCUGCCCUCACGGAGGUUACAUUCUAGACGGAAGGUUAUAAACAAGUAACAGAUUAAUGUAUGAUUUCAGAUGCUAGAUCCAUGCAGAAAAAGAAAGCAGAAUAAAAAGACAAAAAUGGAUACAGGAAUCUCUUUAGAAAAAAAUGGAUACGGGAAUCCCUUUCAGGGUAGGGGUGAGAGGUCUGAAACCUGCUGAGAGUGAGGAAGCCAGUCGCGUGAUGAUCUGGGUGAGAGAGGCCAGCAGGUAUAAAGGCCCUGAGGGGAGUGGCCAUGGCAUGCACAAGGCUGGCAUGGCUGGAGCAGAGUGGCUGAGCCGAGACCAUGAGGGGCUUCAGCCAGGGGAACUGGAGCUGCAGGCAGGGUCCAGAACAAGCACAGAGGGAGCUUGGAUUUUAUUCCAAGUGUGACUGACUGAAGGGUUUGGGGAGUGAUACGUAGUUUAGGAAAUUCCGUCCAGCUGCUGUGUACAGACGAAGACUACAGGGGAGUAAAGAAGAAUAAUGGAGAUAAGUUCGUUGGUUAUUUUAAGGGUACCUAGACUUUGUUUUAGCCAGAUUUGGUAAGACCUUGAGACAUGGAAAUAACUGCCUUGAAGGGAGCAAUUUAUAUUCACAUUUCCUUAGAAAUAGGAGGCACAGGAUGCCAUGUGGGCUCCCAUGGAAAAGCACCAGGGUCUGUCAGGAUGCAGAAUAAAUGCAGAGAAAUGUAGGCAUAGCCUUUGUAGUGGUUUUCACAGGGAAGAGUGAGCAUGGCAGAUAAGCAGAUUUAGGAUUGGCUGCUUUGAAUACAUUUGAUUGGCUCUGGAGUAUAGAGGCAGUCCCUAGUUGUUUGGGACCUGGCCCCGGGAUAAUUCAGGUAGGUGGAUGGUGAACCACAGUGUGAGAGCCCAAUAAAGGAUGCCAUGUCUGAGCUCUGGACUGGUUGGUUUGCACUUGAAAAGGGUGCUUGCCCUCAGUCAUUUGCUAUCUCUAGGAAGUGGCUGAUGCUGAAAGGAGCAGUGCCUCCAUGGUCAGCAAGUCCCAGGUGUUAUAGCCUCAGAACACAGGAAAUAAAAGCCAUGGUUCACACAGUGGGAGGUGAUGGUUUGUGAAGACCCUGCCAGAAAAGAGGAAAAUGAAUAAUAAUGUUAAAUAAUAAGACCAGAGUCAAGGUGUCAAGGUGUCAAAGUGUCAAGGAAUGGGUCUGAGGCAUUUCCAUAGGCGACGUGUGUGCUCCUACAUUUGAAUUCAUGGUCUUUAGGAGAUAAUUUGAUUCUUGCAGGGAAACAUGUAUUUUAUUCAGAGAUAUUUUAGGGGAAAUUUCCAGAGUCUUGCUGGUGGAGAGAAAUCAAGGUGUAGGUGAAACUAACUCCUCAUCCCCCGCCACGUGUCCCCUCAAGAGCCCCUGCUUCAAUUUCCUUCCUGCUUACUUUCAGCAGCAAACCAGCAGACACCUGAAGUCUCAUUGGGAGUGUCUACUGACACCUAGCCAAAACCUGAAGCAGCAGAAUCUUCAACUUGUAGCAAGAGACAGGAUUCUGUUAAUCUGAGGUUGCAGUGGCUCUGGGGGGAGGGUUUCAGGAGCACACUGCACUGUGGGAGAACCCGAGGAAGACCAGAGGAGACAGGAGAUGCUGAGUAGGAGGAGAUUGUCUACACGCGCCCCUUGAGAAGCCGAGCGAGUGAGCGUUGUCCCGCUGCUUAUCAGAGAGAGAGUAGCUAAGUCAAGGUACCUGACCACCCAGACCCAACUCUGGGCCAUCACUUGCUCUCUUCAGUGCAAGAUCAACUGAAAUCUCCGUUGGUGUUCAGUGUCUUUAAUCUGGGCCACACCGGUGUGGAGGAACUGGGGAAAAAAGCAGCUCCUACGCCAGAAUCACCUGGUGGGCGGCAAACAAGCCUGUUUUGGAUUGCUGGGUAGAGAGGAGUACCAAUCAGUGGGUGACCAGUUUCCCAUCCAAGGAGGUGGUAAGACCGUUCUCACCCUCCUUGUAGCCAGAAAUACCUCCCACCUCCCUCCAGGGACAGAAGGGUGCUAAUGUGCUGUGCCAGCCUAUUCUGUAUUCUUCGUGCCAUGACAUGUCCUCCAAGGUCAUCCAGUUUUAUCUGAUGACUGAUUUUCCCGUAAAACAUCCCCUGUAGGGAGCGCACAGCUUCUCCCCGAAUAUAACCAGUGAUGAAGAACUUAGCUUCCUGAGGAAGCUGGUUCUAUUUUCAGAUAGCGUAGUGCUAAUGUUUGGUUCUACAUAUGGAAAGUCUUUCUGUCUUCCUGAAGCUUCCAGGUACUUGUUCUAAUUUAAGCACCUUGGCACACAAGAUAUGUUUAAUUUCUUUUCUGUUAGGUAGUCUUUCAAUUUUUCAAAGACAGCUGUCUUAUCCUUUUAUAUCUCCUCUUAAUAAGCAAGGGGGUUUCUUCAUUUGUUCUUUGUAUAGUUUGGUUUUAGGUCUCUUCACUCUGCUGGUGAUUCUCCCUGAAAUAUAUUUGAUUGUAUACCUCACUUUUAAAAAGUGGAACCUAGAAGUGACUACAGAAUUCCAGGUAUGAUCUGAGCAGCACAUAGUACAGGAUGAAAAUGUUGCCCUUUGUUAUAGACUCUUUACUUUUAUUAGAGUCAGAGUUGGUUCAAUAUUUUGUGGCUUCAUGGUAUCAGAUUAAUUGUUGACUGAAACUCUCAAGGCUCUUAAAAAAUGUCAGCUGCCUUUAUAUCAAAUUUCUCCUCUUCAUGCACUGCAAGAUUUUAGGACUCAAAUUCUGGACUGUUAACCUUAUUAAAACAAAUUAUUUUUAGAUUUUACUUAUCAUCCCAGCCCAUCAAAAAUAUUGGGGCAUACGCAGGGCUGUGAGCUCUUUCUCCGGCAGAUCACCAGGACGCUAGGAAGCCCUCGCUAGGUUUGACAUCAAUCCAUUAAUGAGUAUUCUUUGGAUAUGAUUUCUGAAUAGUUAAUAACCCACUAAAGUGUUCUAGCAUCUGACCCAUUUUUCUCUAUGUUGAGCACAAGUGUAUCAUUAGAAACGCCACCAAUUGUUUCGCUACAGUCCAGACGCCUGAGUGGAAAUGUGUGAGCAUUGUCUUUAUCUGCCAGCCCCCCACUGAGGGAUGGAAAUGGGCCGGACUAACAGGAUGUGUUCUUGCGAACCCAUGCUGGGUCCUCUAAUCACUUCUUUGUCAUUUGGGGGCCUAUUAUAACAUCGCUUUAGUAAUACAUUCUGGAAUCUUGUCUGAGAUCCAUAUCGAGCUCAAUCACCCGUAGUUUACAGAUUCCAUUUUCUGUCCAUUUUAGAAAAUUGGAAGGAUGUUUACUCAUUUCCAGCCUUCUAAGAUCUCUUGACUUCUUCCUCAACAGCGUGCCUAUCCUGUCUCUGAUCUCCACCGUGUCCCAGAUAGAGCUGAAAGCUAUUUGUUUUUGGUUUUGCCUUUUUGGUGGUUUCCUGGCCUUCGGUCACUUUGAUAAAACACUCUCUUGUCACUUUCUUUCACAUCUCUGAAGUUUGUGUCCUUCCCACCCUGUCCUUUAAAAUCUGAGCUUCCAGAGCAGUGUUUUGCAACCAUAAGUAAAUAUUGGGGUCACUUGGGGAGACUAAAAAAUGACUUCUGCUGGUUUCCCACCUGAGACAAACUGAGUUAAAACUUCAAUAAGUAAUGGGAGCAUUUUUUUUUUUUUUAAGUCCCCCAGUGGACAGCCAAAGUUGGAACUAUAGUGGAGUGGCCUAUUAGUUUUCUUUGUUUCUGGUUUUGUGUGCUGGUUUUUGUUGUUUGUUUUAGAUUUUUUUUCCCCUCGGUAUCAUUGGUCUCACCUGUCUUGGCAUCGUGAGAUUAGAAUGUCUGAGAAAUUUCUGAAACAUUUUGAGAGCCAUGGACCGUCCCUCCUUACACCUUGAAAUUUUGCUUUUCUUUACCUUUGAAUCUUACCAGUAAAUCACUCUGUCUUCAUGUCUCUUGGCUCCCACGAUGUGAACUCAGUGACCUUUGCCCUAAGACUCCUUUCUCAUCCUCUUUGAUAAACAUUCCUUUACCCUAGUAGGCCAGAAUUAAACCUAAGACAGUAGUUUUUCCAUUUGUGUGCUUGAUCUGUUUGGAAAUGUAGCCGGGCUAGUUUUAGGCUGCUCUGCUUUGGGCCAAAUGAGGCUUUUAGUAGAUGUUUAUGGAGUUGAAAUCCAUCAUGACCACAUCAUGCUGGUAGUCACUUACAAAAAAUGUGUUGGGAACCUAUUACACUUUUCAUUUAUCUUGUCCAGUGUCCCAGUCUGUACAUUAGGGAUUCACAAAUCUAGUGGAUCCACUGCUUAGACAGUGGCAAAAAUACACAUUUUAGGAUGCGGCCCUGGAAUAUAUGAUUUAGUAGGGGCUCAAGAAAUUGCAUUUUAAAGUUCCCUUAAACAAUGUUGAUAAUUGGCCAGGUUUCAGAAGCACUGGCCUGAACCACAACAAUAUCCUUAUGUUCUUGUUCCCUUAUCUCUUGUCUCUUCAGCUGACAUCCACCCACAGGUCCAUGGAUUUUCACAAAGAUGUCUGUCUUGCUGGCAUGUGUUUUAGUCAAUUUCUUCCUCGAGCAGGCCUCUUUGUCUUGAAUAGAGCAUAUACUUCCAUCAGCAUUUUUCGAUUCUGUAUCUCUUCUUUCCCAAACUUGGUGAAACAAGUUCAUAUUUAUUGCCCUCUCUUGUAAGAAUUUCUUUCAAGUUAUCCCCAAUUCAUUUUGUUACUCAUGCUCUGCUGACUGUUCAU
rnacentral:lncRNA from 1 species